ACGCUCGACACCUACGGGAGGCAGCAGUGGGGAAUAUUGCACAAUGGGGGAAACCCUGAUGCAGCGACGCCGCGUGAGCGAAGAAGUAUUUCGGUAUGUAAAGCUCUAUCAGCAGGGAAGAUAAUGACGGUACCUGACUAAGAAGCUCCGGCUAAAUACGUGCAAGCAGCCGCGGUAAUCUGAGCGGCUGGCAAGGC
rnacentral:rRNA from 1 species